GACGAACGCUGGCGGCGUGCCUAAUACAUGCAAGUAGAACGCACAGUUUAUACCGUAGCUUGCUACACCAUAGACUGUGAGUUGCGAACGGGUGAGUAACGCGUAGGUAACCUGCCUGGUAGCGGGGGAUAACUAUUGGAAACGAUAGCUAAUACCGCAUAAUAUUAAUUAUUGCAUGAUAAUUAAUUGAAAGGUGCAAUUGCACCACUACCAGAUGGACCUGCGUUGUAUUAGCUAGUAGGUGAGGUAACGGCUCACCUAGGCGACGAUACAUAGCCGACCUGAGAGGGUGAUCGGCCACACUGGGACUGAGACACGGCCCAGACUCCUACGGGAGGCAGCAGUAGGGAAUCUUCGGCAAUGGACGAAAGGCUGACCGAGCAACGCCGCGUGAGUGAAGAAGGUUGUCGGAUCGUAAAGCUCGGUUGUAAGAGAAGAACGGGUGUGAGAGUGGAAAGUUCACACUGUGACGGUAGCUUACCAGAAAGGGACGGCUAACUACGUG
rnacentral:rRNA from 1 species